UGGGGAAUAUUGCACAAUGGGCGCAAGCCUGAUGCAGCCAUGCCGCGUGUAUGAAGAAGGCCUUCGGGUUGUAAAGUACUUUCAGCGAGGAGGAAGGCGGUAAGGUUAAUAACCUUAUCGAUUGACGUUACUCGCAGAAGAAGCACCGGCUAACUCCGUGCCAGCAGCCGCGGUAAUACGGAGGGUGCAAGCGUUAAUCGGAAUUACUGGGCGUAAAGCGCACGCAGGCGGUCUGUCAAGUCGGAUGUGAAAUCCCCGGGCUCAACCUGGGAACUGCAUUCGAAGCUGGCAGGCUAGAGUCUUGUAGAGGGGGGUAGAAUUCCAGGUGUAGCGGUGAAAUGCGUAGAGAUCUGGAGGAAUACCGGUGGCGAAGGCGGCCCCCUGGACAAAGACUGACGCUCAGGUGCGAAAGCGUGGGGAGCAAACA
rnacentral:rRNA from 1 species